rnacentral:lncRNA from 1 species
AUGGAGAGGUGCCGCGCACGGAGCCACCUGCGGGGUGCAAACCCCAAUUCUGCGUGGGCACGGGUCUGCCCUCUUCCCAACCUCAGAGCCGGACAGCAAAGAAAGGAAAUCUCCCCAGAAAGCAGCGUGCACGCUGCUCAACGCCACGGCGCGUGCCGCAGGGGCUGUGCCGCCCUCGCCCUCCCCAGCAUCCCCAGCCCGUGGGGUUUUGUAGGGGUGUGGGGAGCCCAGGUGGGACCCCCUCAUUCCUCCUCGCCCCAUGGAGACCCCAACCCCGAGGCUCGGCCCCGCGGUCUCCCCAGGGGGAGAUGCAGCUGCCGCUUCUCUCCCGAAAACUUGUUCCAUUUGUCUGAGAGCCGAGCGCACGCAGCGGCAUCACGCCACGGGGGGCGAGACCCUGCACACAACCCCCCCCCCUCCCCUCCGGAGCCUCCAGCGGGGCAAAAAGCAGCCGAAAGGGUGACAGAGGUGGGAGAAGGCGAAGAGGGGCUGGGCUCGGAGCAUCCCCCUGGCCCCGGGGGCGCGGGGAUGGGGAUGGGGAAGGGGGGCACUCACCUGAGCAGCGGCUCCUUCUCGGGGGCCGCCGCCUCCCCUCCGCAGCAGCCGCAGCAGCCGCCCAGCGAGCGCAGCCAAGUCCCCAGCCCCAUGGGCUCCUCCAGGGAGCCGCGCUGGGCUCUGCUCGCCCGGGCUCUGCCCGCCCCCGGCCCCUCGGCGCCUCCCCAAGCCCUUCCCCGGCUUUGGAUCCGCUCCUCCCGCAGCUUUCCCCCGGCCUCAGCCGCUGGGAGCCAUCGCGCUCGUCCGCCGGAGCCUGGCGCGGCCCAAACGCGGGCAGGGAGGCGAAACGAAGGCGGUGCGCGCUCCUCUUCCUCUCCCUCUUCUUCAUUCCAGGCCUCGCCGAUCCACGAUCGUCCCCUUCCGGUGAAUUAUGGCCACUUGGAUGCUCGGCAGCCCCGGGGAGCGAAGCUCCGUGCCUGCACAACGCGGCCGGGACGUGUCGGCAGCGCCCAACGCCCGAAAGGAGCACGCUCGACUUGGGGAGCGGAGAGCAUCCGCAGCCACCCCGAAGGUUAUUUCCCACCCAGGACCGGGCGCUGUGCCUGA